GACGGAGGAUGCAAGUGUUAUCCGGAAUCACUGGGCGUAAAGCGUCUGUAGGUGGUUCGAAAAGUCCACUGUUAAAAAUUGAGGCUUAACUUCAAAGAUGCCGUGGAAACUUUCAAACUAGAGUAUGGUAGGGGUAGAGGGAAUUCCUAGUGUAGAGGUGAAAUUCGUAGAUAUUAGGAAGAACACCGGUGGCGAAGGCGGCCCACUGGUCCGGUACUGACGCUGAGGUGCGAAAGCGUGGGGAGCAAACAGG
rnacentral:rRNA from 1 species